rnacentral:lncRNA from 1 species
UCCAUGAUGAUUGCCUCCAUCUUCUUGCAAUUCGAUAUGGUUAAAUCCCUCAGAUGUGCGAGAGAUUUAAUCAUGGAUGGGAAAAACAUAAACCCGAGGUUGUCACAGUCUUCCACCACCAACUUCUUUAAAUUAUGGAAGCUCACUAUUCCACAGGGAUUCUUGUUCCAUAUACGCCUUAAGCUCUGCAUUUUGCUUAACUCCAAGGUGGUUAGCUCGAAGAGAGCCGCAACAUUUCCACUACUGCUUGGUCCAUAAAGGUAAAAAAUUUCUUGCACCGAAACACAAUCUUUGAUAGUUAAGGUGUGUAACUUGUGUAGUUUCAAUAGUGACCUGAAGUUGAUAACCUUGGAAAGAGAUUUGCAUUGCACCACUAUGAGAGAUUGGAGAUUGCUUAGCUCCAAUGGAGAUUCAUCGCUCCAUAUCUCUUGCAUAUUGGGAAGUCCUUCCAUUGUUAGGGAUUCCAAGGAUGGGAUCAAAACCUGAUGGAUAGACCCCUGACUCCAAGUUUCUCGUGAACCUAUCACCGAUUUGUCAUUAGAUGAAAAAAAUGUCACCAUUUAUAUUAGAAGGAUGAAUCCAUUUGUAGGAAAAUCAUCAACGAGAAAAACAAGAAAUCGAUCUUACAUUUUCUGCGAGAGAAGCACGUCAGACUUUCCAACCUUUGUAAGCAUAAAUUGGUUAACAUCGGGAAUUCCAAAGUUUCUACUAUUUCCAUUCCCAACCCUUCUUCCUCCAUGAUGAUUGCCUCCAUCUUCUUGCAAUUCGAUAUGGUUAAAUCUCUCAGAUGUGCGAGAGAUUUAAUCAUGGAUGGGAAAAACAUAAACCCAAGGUUGUCACAGUCUUCCACCACCAACUUCUUUAAAUUAUGGAAGCUCACUAUUCCACAGGGAUUCUUGUUCCAUAUACGCCUUAAGCUCUGCAUUUUGCUUAACUCCAAGGUGGUUAGCUCGAAGAGAGCCGCAACAUUUCCACUACUGCUUGGUCCAUAAAGGUAAAAAAUUUCUUGCACCGAAACACAAUCUUUGAUAGUUAAGGUGUGUAACUUGUGUAGUUUCAAUAGUGACCUGAAGUUGAUAACCUUGGAAAGAGAUUUGCAUUGCACCACUAUGAGAGAUUGGAGAUUGCUUAGCUCCAAUGGAGAUUCAUCGCUCCAUAUCUCUUGCAUAUUGGGAAGUCCUUCCACUGUUAGGGAUUCCAAGGAUGGGAUCGAAACCUGAUGGAUAGAGCCAUCGACAAUAGAAUUUAUAAUUACAAAGGAUGGGUGUGAAAUGUACAUGCCGUGGCAGGUUAUCAUAAAUAAUAAACGAAGGAAAUUUACAAGCAAGAUAAUUUACAAGCUUUAGGAUAAUUUUUGCAUCCGCAAAAAUAUAUGAUAAAUAUAAGUUAAUUUACAGUACAUAAAGGAACUAUAAGACCCCAAGAGACAACUAACGAAUUUUACUAUUUAUUUACAAUAUAACAAGGCAUGUGCCGAUUAGAUUUGGUUUGCAAUUUCCUAACAAUAGAGGAAAUGAUAGCCAUCAAGAAUUAGCACUCAUUCAGUUUACGAAUGACAACAAAUAUUAAUUACCCAUAAAGCAAAAAAUACUUUCAAGCUAAAUUGCUUCCUAUAAGGUAAGCUCUUAUAACCCAUCCCAUUUAAUCAUCCUUGUCAUCAUAAUUUCUUUAAGGGUGAGUCCAAAUCCGCAGCCUACUUGUAUGAAACCAUAACGCGUUAGGUGUUAAGAUCCAAUUUUCCCCGAUCACAAUGGAAAGCUUUAAUUUCUUUCUUUUAAUUUGUAAAGAGUAACUAGUCUUUUUCAAAAGUUCAUUGCUAUAACUCUAGAAAGUCCUUCAACUGCAAAGUUGCUCGCAAUCUCACGCCUACCUUACCAUCACCCAUCGCUCCCAUCCAUUCUACAACUUUGUGUUUCGUUCAUUGGACAAUCAUCAUCUCUAACAAGAUUAUGACAAAAAAUAAAGAAGAAGCAAAGCCGCAAAGGCUCUUUGCAAAAUUUCCCUAAUCUAGUUCCAUUAUCUUUGAAAGAGCUCUCUAUAUGGAAGCUCCGAGCAUGAGAAGAAGAGAGGUCGUACUCUUAUUAUUAUGGGACCCACUACUUAAAUUUCUACGACUCUUUACACAUUUUUUUUUUUUGGACGACUCUUUACUGAUGAAUCUAUUAUUAUCGCAGUGGUUCUUGGACCCAAUUGUCAACUUCAAUGAUAAUUGCCCCAUUAUAAAGGGGCAAUCUUAUCUAUUUAAUGAAACAGCCGUGGCAAUUUUUGCCGGACAAAAUAGCCAUGCGCUUUCCUUGACUAUCCAAUUUUUCUUCAUGCUUUGUGUAGAUACCAUAAGAGAUGUUCAACCAUCUGUGGAAACUAUUUUCGGAGAAAUUAAAAGUGAGAAAUUGCAAUCCGUACAUGUUGCCAACUCUGAACCCAUAUGCUUGUGGGCCACUUAUUUUACGUGUAAAUUUUUUUUAAUCAAAGUAUACUCUGCAGGUAGUUUUAGUUAGUUUUCAUUUUGGCUAUGCUUUGUCUCUAGUAUAUUUAAUAUUUUGACAUUUCACGUACCUCUUGAUUGAAGAGUGUAGUGAAGCAUGACUGGACAUAGGCUUGACUCCAAGUUUCUCGUGAACCUGUCAUCGAUUUGUCAUUAGAUGAAAAGAAUGUCACCAUCUAUAUUAGAAGGAUGAGUCCAUCUACAUGAAAAUCAUUAGCAAAAAAAAAAACAAUAAAUCGAUCUUACAAUUUUUGCGAGAGAAGCAUAUCAGACUUUCCAACCUUUUUAAGCGUAAAUCGGUUAACAUCGGGAAUUCCAAAGUUUCUACUAUUUCCAUUCCCAACCCUUCUUCCUCCAUGACGAUUGCCUCCAUCUUCUUGCAAUUCGAUAUGGUUAAAUCUCUUAGAUGUGCGAGAGAUUUAAUUGUGGAUGGGAAAAACAUAAACCCGAGGUUGUCACAGUCUUCCACCACCAACUUCUUUAAAUUAUGGAGACUCACUAUUCCACAGGGAUUCUUGUUCCAUAUACGCCUUAAGCUCUGCAUUUUGCUUAAUUCCAAGGUGGUUAGCUCAAAGAGAGCCGCAACAUUUCCACUACUGCUUGGUCCAUAAAGGUAAAAAAUUUCUUGCACCGAAACACAAUCUUUGAUAGUUAAGGUGUGUAACUUGUGUAGUUUCAAUAGUGACCUGAAACUGAUAACCUUGG